CCUGCUCUGUACUGAGGAGCGCCUAACUUCAUGUAAUCGGUCAUCUUAACCUUGCUCCCUCCAGAUGAGGUAGGUUUGGGUACUUGUGUUUCCGGGACAGUAGGUACUGGUGGUGGUGGAGGUGCAACAUCCCCUGGGGUAGGGUUUGCUGUACUGGUAUAGGGAGGUGGAGGUGGGUACAUGGGAUACUGAGAGUAUGGUGGGUAGUAAGGUGGGUAUGGCAUAUGUGGAGGAUAAGGGCUAAAACUGGGGUUAUCCGAUGUACCUCCCAUCGAAUACCCUGGAUGGUGUGAAUAGGGUGGGUAGUGAUGUGGCUGGACAUAACUCGAGGCCUGAGUGCCUCCUUCUUAUUCUCCCAUGCCCUCUUCCGGCAUGCUCACACCGAGACUGCCAUCCCUCCUCUGAUCUACCUCCAUAUCCUCAGACAUUCCUCCCUGCACUGUUCCCCUUACUGAUCUGCUUCUACCCAGAUCCAAAGACCUUCUAGGGUCCCUAGCUACUCUGUCUCUGUUGGACCUACUGGACAUUGCCCUAGGCAAGGCUGGAGGACGGGCAUCAGUGCCCUCGUCCUGAGGUGGCACUCCAGUCAAUCGUGCAGAUCGACGAGUUCCUCUCAUUCUAUCUUCUGAAAAACAGCACAUAGCACAAGCAAUCAUUAGCAUCAUAUGGUUCAUGUGGAAACACAUGAACCCUCAUCACAUACAUAGCAUCACAUCAUAGCAUUUAUGCACAUGCAUAUCAUCAUGGCAUAUCAUAUCAUCAUAUAGACAGGACUCUACAUCCUAUCCUAGUGGACAUGAUUUUCCUAGUGUGCUUGACCUUCUAGAACAUCUAUGAGCCCGAUACUCUAGGUCCGACCAUAUGAACC
rnacentral:lncRNA from 1 species